GUUCACCACAACCCAGUAAUGCAUGGCCUCACAAAGAAGUCGGCCGAGGCAAAGGGCAAGAGAUCGGUCGAAGAGAUAAAGGACGAAGCUUAUAUCAAAAAAGGCAAAAUGAAGGUGGUGAAUGACAACUGAUUCAAAAGAAAAUCGACUGAUGUUGCUGAAGAAACCAAGGUUUAUAUAAUUGCUUAUUUUCUUUUCAAAAGAUUAUGACUUUUAAAUGAAGUCCCAAUGUGUUUAUUGGGAUGUUGAUGAACUGAAGAUACAAAGGUGUGUUUUUGUGUGACGGUUUGUGUGUGAAUUUUCUGUUUAUUAUCAGGAGUCUUCAGUAUUGUGAACUCCAUGCUCCUCGUAUGGAUUUUUUUUCUUCUUCGAACUGGAUUAUUUUCAUUAAGAGUUCAAUAUGUAUGUCAUGGUUAUGUUAGAUAUAUUCUUAUAGUUAUCAAACUGGAGUUUUAGCCUUUAAAUUUAAACAAAACCACCAACUAGAGAUGGAGUUAGUUGCCCAAACCCGAAGGGGCACCUGAAAUUUGGAGGUUUGGGCAAAAAUGUCCUGAGAUGAUGUUGAAGAAUCAAAUAGGCUUUAAAGCAUUGGGUUUAACAGGGGUGUAGACAAGGGGCAAGUAGCGGACUUCUCCUUGAAGAAUGGUAAAAUUGUCUUAUAGUUCUUUAGAAAUUUAUGAAAUUAUAAAUUAUUAUAAUAGUAAAAUUGCACUUUACCUUAAAAAAUUUAUGAUUUAUCUCUAUACUUCCUAGAGUGGUUUUUUGUACUUCAUCCCUAUUUAAUAAUAUCUUAUAAGAAGGACAGCCCAAUGAAGCAUACUUAUUUUGGUUCAUUCUAAUGCAUUUGGGUCCAUUGGACCAGCUAUUCCAGUACUUAAAAGCCUUAAAAACCUGACCUUUUUCAAGCAAUUCGAUACGAAAUAGAACCCAAUACACACUCAUAUCGAACGCAUAUCUUAACAAACCAAGUAAUGAUAAUUACAUAUAAGCCUGACAUGAGACGCAAACAAGUUUUUUUUUCCUUUUAUUUAGGGGUUAGUUUUGGACACUCAACAAAUGUAUUAUUUUCUGCUAGAAUUUAACCUCGAAUUUUUGUUCAGCCUUCACAGAAUUUAACUUUAAUAAAGUUUGAACCCACAUUUUAUAUGGCAUUGAUGGAUAAAAAUAUUACCACUUAACUAAUACUUUCAUUGAAGGUGCAAGACUGGAUCAGAUAACCUCCCCUCUACACUUUUCAAUUACAACAAGAACAUAAGCAACAAUCUUCAAUGUAUUAGCUAUUUAUACAUAAAAUAAAAUACAAAAACCCUCCAAAGCUAUUCAACUAUUUACCUUGUAGAGUUUCUCUUGGUUUGACCACUUGAUCUCUUAAUAGAAUCAAUCCUUUCAAGCCUAAUCUGUUCUCUAACUUUAGCUAUAAAUUCAUCAGCCUUUUUAUCAACAUCAGAUCCUCCAUCUAUACCUUUGCUUGGACCAACAGCUUCCUCAUUGUUUUCACCAUUGUUGGUACUUGAAACAAUGCAUGUUUGGCCAACAAUUUCAUCUUCAUUCUCACUCUCUGUACCAUCAUCAUCAUCACUAGUUUCCAUCCCAUGUUCAAUAUCACCAUCAACAUAGUCCCUUUGUGUCAAUAAUGGCGGUGGAGGCGGCGGCGGUGAUGGAGACCUGUAACUUGUCUUGUUCUUCACUAUAUCACCAUCCCUUGACCGCCAUGGAAUUAGUGAAGGAAGAACAACGCUAUUCUCACCAUUAUUGACCUCCUUAACACUUGAUGAUUUCAAGCUCCUAACAGGCAAAAGCAAAGGCUUUUCAAUUUCACCAUCACCUUUCUUUUUAGCUACCAAAACAGUAGGUAAUUCAUUCCUAUAAUAUUGACUACUCCAUAUCUCGACCUUACUCUCGUCAGACCCAGACAUGUUUUCAGCUUCAUCAUCGAAAAACGACGAUACCUGAAGGAAUCUAGACACGAGACACUGUACAUUAUCGAACAUGGACUGGUUGUUGUUGGGUUCUGUAUCGGUUUCAUCGUUUCGUUGACUAAAAAGCCCGUAAGAAACAGCUAUGCCGAAUAACAACAAGCGGAGAAGCUCCCAGCUACGGUUCAACAGGGUUUGGUUGAUGAAUUCAGGUGCUUGUGAGGGAAAAACUGGGAUUAUAACCAAGAAAAUGAUGAUUACAACAGCUUUUUUGUAAAGGAAACUUGUGUUGUGCUUGUUUGGGUUUGUUUGGUUUUGUUUUAAUAGUUGAUGAUGUUUGGUGUAAGAAUCAGUUUCUGCCAUUGAAGAGUUUUGUUACACGAUUGCAUGCUGAAUGUAUAUUUUACCCCAUAGAGCCCUAAUCUAAAUGUUACACGAUUGCAUGCUGUAUGUAUGUCAGUUACCUGAAGUUUGAAUACAACAAGGAGACUUCCAUUAGCAGAUGAAGGAUCAUCAGUGGCACAAUCUAACAGGCAUUUAUGAAUAUAUUUCUCCUCAUCAGAAUUCCGUGGCAACUCUAUUAUUCGAUCUACCAAGUUCCUCCGAAUACAUAAACAGCAUAAUUCAGAGACCAAUAUUUCUGUCCAGUCCAUCCAGGACCUGCAUUGGCCAUCCUCACUUGGACCAUACUUGAAAUUCUUUUCCCGGACUUUAGUACAGAGCAUCCGCUGAUAUGUGAAUGCUUCAGUCAAAAGCCUACAUUCCACUUUCACCCAAACAACAGUCACAGCCUCACUAAUCGAAACCAACUGUGAUCCAUCAUCACGACCAGACCAGCGUAACACCAUGUGAGCAGCCUCGGGAUUCUGCCGUUCUAACAGAACUCGUGCAAUCUUAGGAUGAGUUGUUGGGCCAGAUAUCUCUGGAAGAAGUUGAAAAGAUCCCUAAGAAAUACGAUUUAGCUAAAAAUAAUCAGCAUGUGAAAUUAUAAUAAAAGUGUGAGAGUAUAGCCUUAAGGACAAAAAGUAGUUCUUUACUACUAUGCCGGUAAAGCCUCAUCUGUGUGAUCGUCCAAAAGACAGAAAAUGAAUGAUUCGAGUAAUGAAUGCCUGUUUAUACCAAAGGAGGUAGCAAAGUCAUCCACAAUAUCUCUCCAUUCUUCUUCAGGCCUACUCCAAUGCCGAUCAAACAAGUAAUAUACAAACUGUAUCUCAAUUAAGAAAAUCAAAGGAAUUUGCGCAACUGAAAGCAUGUCCAAUCAAUAGAAGCAAACCACAUCAAAAAGAGAAGGAUACAAUUGCUUGCUUUGCAACCACCAAAUCAGAACUACCACGUAGAAAGAGGAUGCCCACAGCAGCCUGGAGACUUUCAAAUGGGUAACACCCUAUCAAUCCCUCUAUUUUAGACCGAGAAAAGGAGGAGCUGUCCUUCAGUAAAAAUGCAAAAUAUGACUCUUCUCCAAGCUCCUGAUCACAUGCUUGUUCGAUGUCAAGAUUUGCUAGUGCAUCUUCAAUAAAUAGAGAGCCAUCCUGUCUAGUGGAGUCGGCUGAGCGAUCUACUACAUCAGGCCAUGCACGUGCAGUUGCAGCCGAUAUUCUUUCACGGACAAGAUUAUGCCAGGAUGUGAAAUUAGCAUGAAUAGUGUAAAAGUAAAUUAUACCCGAAUGGGAAAAAACCACAGGUAGAGGAGAAGAAAAUUCGUUAUGUCGAAUUCGAAUUAAUUUACAAGCUUAUAAAUAGACUAAACCUUAUUCUAAAAAUAAAAUAAAAGAAAUAUAAUUCUAUAGUUUAUUUUAUUUUACCACUGUAUUUGAUUUAAAUAAGUAUUUGGGUCACUUAAUUCUAACAAUGAGACCUCACAUGUUCCAAGAAUUGGUGCCUCAUACACCACAUUAUGAUCUCAGGAUGCUGAAAAUUUUGUAACAGUUGUUGCUCUUAAAAAGAUGCUAAUAUAUGGUUAAAUAUCUUCUUAAUUGAAUCAAACUUGCUUCGUCUUCAAUAUACUUUCUUUGAAGGUGAUGCAAGUCAUGGAGCUGUGCCAAAGGACUAAAUCAAUAUUCGGGAUGUGUUUUAUAAAAAUAUAAACAAAUCAAUAUGCCCUAAAUGACUAAAUCUAGACAAGUAAAAGGAUACAAUGACAAACCAAAGAAACCAAGUUAUUCUCCAAGGAGACAUCAAAAAAAGAAUAAAGACGUUGAACAUCAGCAUUCAUUUGAUCAUCUCUAUCUUCUUUAUUUUUGAAAAAUAUCACCAUAUCUUCUAGAAAUGAGGCCAGCGUCCAUGCACUCAUCGAACAGGCGUAGGCGAAGUUUAUUGUUACCACUCGCCAAUGGGAUUCUACAAAUCGGACAAAGAUCACAUCUUUGACAACUCUCGGCACAUAACGAGGUAUGUCCGCAAGAGUUCAACACAUACUUCACAUAAUGCCCACAUCGUCCUAAGUCUCUAGUUGCUCGACAGUAUUCGGUUUUCACCUCAUUGAAUAACUCACUAAGGUCAACAGAUGCCAAGUGUUCUAAAGCUUCCUGAAAUUUAAACUAGACAUUAUAAUUUCCUAGCCUAUUCCAAAGCUAUACAAUAAAUUAUUCAAAAUUCACCCAAACUGAAUUUAACCUAAAACACUAUUAUUUACAACAAAAAUGUGAACUUAAUAAUAAACUAACCAAUUCUAUGUAAACAAAUGUGCUCUUAAAAUGAGUUUGAAUUUGUCUUUUGCAAAUGUGAGUGGGUUCGGGUAAAAUUUUAAGUCUAUAUCGGGUUAGGUCGAGCUUAGGCAAAGUAUAAAAUAUGUUAAUAUCAUGUUUAGGCCUGGACUGAACUCAACCCGACUUGACCUAUAAGCACUUCUAACUUAAAGUGAUUAAAAUAUUUAAUUUUAAAAAGUAUAGUGACUAAAUAAAAAAUUAAUAGUUUUGUGAGUAAAAUAGGAAGAAGGAUAUAAUUAGUUGUCUAUUUGUAUAGUUUAAAAAAAAAACCAUUUCAACUUCUUCAACAAAAAAUUAAGAGCUAAUUUAAGCUUUUAAAAAUGUAUAUAGAUUAAUUUUACGGCGGGCAAAAUGCAAUCCCUCCCUACUGCCUUUUUACCAUUAAAAAUGUCAUUUGAUUUCUUUAGAGUAAAACACUGGAGAAAACAACGAAAUGAAAAUGGUAGGCGCGUUCUCCUUUCAACAGUAAAAUAAGACUUUUAAAAUAAACAAAAGAAAGUCCAUCUACGUCUGAAAAUUUGGGAUGACAAAAUGAUUCAAAACCUCGACACAAUAUCGCGCGAUGGACUGGUGCGAAGCUUUGGGUAUAUAAGUUUUGAGUUUUGGGCAAAACAGUGAUAAACAGGUCUGCGACGGCACAACAAUUCUCUACUCUACUGUACCCUACAGCCGUAAGCAAUCCAUUACUCCUUUCUCUUUGCUUUGAUAUAAUCAAGUUUGGUUUGUAUUUUUCUUUGAUUACCAGUUUCUCUCUCUCUUUCUGUGUACUAUGUAAUCGUUCUUUUCUAGGGAGAUAUUUCUUUUCUUCUUUUCCCAACAUUAGAAAGCAUGUUUUUAGUUUAUCUAUUCAAAAUUUUAUGAUCUUUUUAAUAUCAUUUUUCUUCCUAUUCUCAGAUUGUAGUUCGAUGGGGAAAAAGGUGAAGAAAAAUAAAGAUGAAGAUAAAGAUAAAAGCUAUCGUGAAAGAUUAGCAGUACCGAUUUUUUUUUUCCAAUCAAGUUCUAUUUUUCCCACUAAAUUCUUUUUUUUUUUUGUUUAAUAAUAGUUUGAAUUUUUGGUUGCUUUCAAUAUGCAGAUAUGUGAUAAAGUAGUAGGAUAAUUGAUAUCUAUGCUACUGGAUGGUGAUAACACUUAUCUAACCAAGGUAUGGCUUUCCCUCUUUCUUUUAUAAUUUGUUUUAGGCUUGGCUUGGUAUACAGCGAAAGAUGAAAAACUAAAACAGUAGAAAAAUAGGAAGAUUGGAAAACAAAUUUUUUAUUUCCAUAAGUGUAAUGAAAGGAAGAAAACAAAUAUUUAAAAAAUGCAUAUACACUUUUCUCAUAUUUUCUCUCCUCUCGGAAUCAAAUUACAUUUUGCCCUCUUUACUAAAGACCGGUCAAAUUAAUUCCUAUAUCUUAGAUCAAAGAGCAAAUGGGUCCUUCCUGUUAAAAGUUUCAUCUAUUUUUAUUGUUAAAAACCGACAUGCCUAAUAGAAUAACCGAACAGUCACAACUACUGGUUUUUAACCUUUGGAAUGAAUUGAAUCUAACAUACAAGGACUAAUUUGUCAAUUUUUGAGUGAAGGGGGCAAAAUGCAAUCCGUCUUCUAAUACAAGGGCCGCCAUGGUACUUUUAACCAUGAAAAUCCUGCAAUUUCAGGCACUGUUUUGAUAACAUUAGAAAACGCAUUAAUAGUUGGUUUACUUUUUAUUGUUUUCUAAUCUCUUUUUGAAUGUAGGGGUGUGUGCAUGAAAGGGUGAUGGCAGUAACGAAAGCAAAGUAUCAACUCCAUGAUCCACAGUUCAUACUGCAAUUGUUGAGAAAUCUGAUGGAACCUAUUAUUGCAGAAAAUGGCAGUGGUGACGACGUCCAAGAUGCAUUUAAAGCCCUUAAGUCAUAUUUGACGCAAUAUGCAAGUCCAGUUCAAAAGAAGCGAAGUGCCAAGCACCUUCCUGACUCAAUCUCACUCACAGGUAUGGUUUUUAAGGAAGUACCACAUGUUGAUUAAUAACAUUUAUUGAUGUGCUUGAGACUGCUUGGGGAAUGCCAUAGAUGGAGUUCCCAAACAUGUUUCGAUGCUUAAGUCAGUGUUUGGAGAGAAAUCAUCAUAGUAACAGUUGGUUAAGGGCAUGUUAUGUACCUAGGUUUCUUGUAGAAAUUAUUUUUGUGCUUCAUUUCCUUAAAUUUGCUUUUCUGCUUGGCUUUGGCUAUUCUCUAAAUUCAAUUACUAGUACUGUUUUAUACAUACAAUUGUAGAUUUAGUUCAUUUUCUUCAUUUGGAUCAUUUUAAGCCCUUAUAUUUUUCGAAUUUUAAAAUUUCAUUCUUAACGUUAAACACGUUCAUUAACCAAUUAGUUGGAAUUGUAGUGAGUAAUAUAUGGAAAUAACAAGCUGACGUGGCAUUAUACACAUGUCAAUAUAUUUGCUGCAUCAGAUUUUAAAAAUAGCAUAACGUAAUGAAUUUAACAGUAAUUAUCUGGUGAGAACUGAAGUUUGAAAAUUUGAAAAGUACAGGGACUAAAAUUUUAAUAGCGCACAAUAGCAUAAACCUUUUAGCAGCUCUUUGAUAUACAUAUAUACUAAUCUUGAUAUCAUUUAAAUUAGAUUUUCUUAUUUGUUUUCUUUAUAUUUUCAAUUAAAGCAUUGCAAAAGGAAAUGGUGGUGCAGCCGGAGGCUACUGUGGACCAAACGCAGCAAUUAAUCACAGAGGAUAAGUUGUUUAGCAUAGUAAAAAAUAUGGUAAACGAAGUUUUGGGUCCUUAUUUAGGAAGGCUACAGAACCAAAAGCUUACAAAUCCUGUAAGUAUUCAUGGAGAUCCUGAGUCUAGCAGAGGAGCUGAGAUUUGCAACAACAUACAGGUAAGAGUGUCAUGUGCAUGUAGGAAUUAUGUGCGUAUCAGAACUUGCAUAAAGUAGAGCUUGUCUGUCAUCCCUUUAAUUUCUUUGACGGACAGUUUAUUUCAUCUUUCGCAAACUAUAAACUGAUACGACCAUUAAUAUUCAUUUCUUUUAUUAAUUUUCUGGGUUACAGGUAAAGAUCAUACUAUAAAUAUAUUGGCCAGAAAUGUUUGAACUUUCUUUGUAAGCAAACUCUGAACUUGGAUUAUUUUACCUGAACAUCAAUAAGCAGACAGAAAUUGUUGGAACUUAUAUAUUCGGAUUUUUAUGUCUUAUGAUCCUUUCAUGUCCUUUUUCUUAUGAUUCUUAGAUUGUACAUUCGUUCAAGGAAUACAUGGAGGAUUUUAAUGAAUUGGAAUGAAAUAAAGAUGCGCGCAAUUGUAGAAAUAUCAUAAUGUUGUUUCAACAUUGUUUGAUCGAUUCCACUUGUUUGUAAGAGGCCAAAUAAAAACAAUAAAUAUUAGACAAAUAUACACACAAAUGUCCUGAGUAGGAAAGCUGUAAAUUUCUAAUUCUCUGUCUAAUGCUGUGUACUUCCCUACUUAUUUACAGGGUCAUCAUGAUGCUGAUCCUGUAAAUUUUGGCGUGUAUAUUUUUUUUAAAUUCAAUUUGCUUAGAUUUGGGUCAGAUCUGAUUCUCUUCUGCAUAUAGGUUGCUCUGUAUAUGAAAGACUAUGGUGGUGGUUUUGAAUUCUGUAAUCCGUCAGGUAAUGGCUGCAAGUUGAUAUUCUAUUAUGUUAAUCUACGGUUAUAAUUUGAUGUUUACAUUCUUAAACUGUCAGUAUAACAAUCUUAUUUGUAAAUAUUAAUUAUGUUUUCUAGACGACCAGAUAUAUGAUGAUUCGGGUGAAGGCAUCAGUGGUGCUAUAGCAUAUCCACACAAUAUGGAACUGUCACAAGAGAACACCUUUACUGUUGAUCCUGUAGGUUUUGGCGUGUAUAUAUUUUUUAAAUUCAAUUUGCUUAGUUUUGGAUCAGAUCUGAUUCUCUUUUGCAUAUAGGUUCUUCCGUCACUGCUGUGUUCUGAUAUGGAAAACUUUGGUUAUUUUGGACUCUGUGGUCUGUCAGGUAAUGGCUGCAAGUUGAUAUUCUAUUAUGUUAAUCUACAGUUAUAAUUUGGUGUCUACAUUCUUAAACUGUCACACUAUAACAAUCUUACUUGUAAAUAUUGAUUAUGUUUUCUAGACAAUGAGAUAUGUGGUCUUUCGGGCGAAGGCACCAGUGAUGCCAGAGCAAAUCAACUCAAUAUGAAACUGUCACAAGAGAACACGUUUACCGUUCAAGGGUACAACAUUUAUGAACGCAACUCUAAUUUGCUCACUAAUAUAUUUCAAAAGCACCCUCGUAUUGAUAGCAAGUUUUUCUAUUUAGGUGUGCAGAUAUUCAGAACUCAUUACCUGCCGUAGCUGAAGUUCACCAUAACCCAGUAAUGCAUGGCCUCACAAAGAAGUCGGCCGAGGCAAAGGGCAAG
rnacentral:lncRNA from 1 species